AGUGAACGCUGGCGGUAGGCCUAACACAUGCAAGUCGAACGGCAGCACAGGAGCUUGCUCCUGAUGGCGAGUGGCGAACGGGUGAGUAAUAUAUCGGAACGUGCCCUAGAGUGGGGGAUAACUAGUCGAAAGACUAGCUAAUACCGCAUACGAUCUACGGAUGAAAGUGGGGGAUCGCAAGACCUCAUGCUCCUGGAGCGGCCGAUAUCUGAUUAGCUAGUUGGUGGGGUAAAAGCCUACCAAGGCAACGAUCAGUAGCUGGUCUGAGAGGACGACCAGCCACACUGGGACUGAGACACGGCCCAGACUCCUACGGGAGGCAGCAGUGGGGAAUUUUGGACAAUGGGGGCAACCCUGAUCCAGCAAUGCCGCGUGAGUGAACAAGCCUUCGGGUUGUAAAGCUCUUUUGUCAGGGAAGAAACGGUAAUAACGAAUAACUAUUACUAAUGACGGUACCUGAAGAAUAAGCACCGGCUAACUACGUGCCAACAGCCGCGGUAAUACGUACGGUGCAAGCGUUAAUCGGAAUUACUGGGCGUAAAACGUGCGAACCUGGGGAAUUGCAUUUUCACGUGUAGCAAUGAAAUGCGUAGAUAUGUGGAGGAAUACCGAUGGCGAAGGCAGCCCCCUGGGAUAACACUGACGCUCAUGCACGAAAGCGUGGGGAGCAAACAGGAUUAGAUACCCUGGUAGUCCACGCCCUAAACGAUGUCUACUAGUUGUCGGGUCUUAAUUGACUUGGUAACGCAGCUAACGCGUGAAGUAGACCGCCUGGGGAGUACGGUCCCAAGAUUAAAACUCAAAGGAAUUGACGGGGACCCGCACAAGCGGUGGAUGAUGUGGAUUAAUUCGAUGCAACGCGAAAAACCUUACCUACCCUUGACAUGGAUGGAAUCCCCAAAAGAUUUGGGAGUGCUCGAAAGAGAACCAUCACACAGGUGCUGCAUGGCUGUUCGUCAGCUCGUGUCGUGAGAUGUUGGGUUAAGUCCCGCAACGAGCGCAACCCUUGUCAUUAGUUGCUACGAAAGGGCACUCUAAUGAGACUGCCGGUGACAAACCGGAGGAAGGUGGGGAUGACGUCAAGUCCUCAUGGCCCUUAUGGGUAGGGCUUCACACGUCAUACAAUGGUACAUACAGAGGGCCGCCAACCCGCGAGGGGGAGCUAAUCCCAGAAAGUGUAUCGUAGUCCGGAUUGGAGUCUGCAACUCGACUCCAUGAAGUUGGAAUCGCUAGUAAUCGCGGAUCAGCAUGUCGCGGUGAAUACGUUCCCGGGUCUUGUACACACCGCCCGUCACACCAUGGGAGCGGGUUUUACCAGAAGUGGGUAGCCUAACCGCAAGGAGGGCGCUCACCACGGUAGGAUUCGUGACUGGGGGGAAGUCUAACAAGGUAACAAAUGGCUCC
rnacentral:rRNA from 1 species